rnacentral:rRNA from 1 species
UAGUCCACGCCGUAAACGAUGAGAACUAGAUGUCGGGGGAGUUGUCCUUCGGUGUCGCAGCUAACGCAUUAAGUUCUCCGCCUGGGGAGUACGGUCGCAAGACUGAAACUCAAAGGAGUUGACGGGGACCCGCACAAGCGGUGGAGCAUGUGGUUUAAUUCGAUGCAACGCGAAGAACCUUACCUGCCCUUGACAUACUCGGAACUUUCCAGAGAUGGAUUGGUGCCUUCGGGAACCGAGAUACAGGUGCUGCAUGGCUGUCGUCAGCUCGUGUCGUGAGAUGUUGGGUUAAGUCCCGCAACGAGCGCAACCCUUGUCCUUAGUUGCCAUCAGGUAAUGCUGGGAACUCUAAGGAGACCGCCGGUGACAAACCGGGAGGAAGGUGGGGACGACGUCAAGUCAUCAUGGCCCUUAUGGGGCAGGGGCUACACACGUGCUACAAUGGGCGAGUACAGA